CCUACGGGAGGCAGCAGUGAGGAAUAUUGGUCAAUGGGCGCGAGUCUGAACCAGCCAAGUAGCGUGAAGGAUGACUGCCCUACGGGUUGUAAACUGCUUUUAUACAGUAAUAAAGUGAGGCACGUGUGCCUUUUUGUAUGUACUUUAUGAAUAAGGAUCGGCUAACUCCGUGCCAGCAGCCGCGGUAAUACGGAGGAUCCGAGCGUUAUCCGGAUUUAUUGGGUUUAAAGGGUGCGUAGAUGGGUUGUUAAGUCAGUUGUGAAAGUUUGCGGCUCAACCGUAAAAUUGCAAUUGAUACUGUCAGACUUGAGUACAGUUGAGGUAGGCGGAAUGUGUGGUGUAGCGGUGAAAUGCUUAGAGAUCAUGAAGAACUCCGAUUGCGAAGGCAGCCUACUAAACUGUAACUGACAUUGAUGCUCGAAAGUGUGGGUAUCAAACAGGAUUAGAGACCCUAGUAGUC
rnacentral:rRNA from 1 species